UACGUAGGGGGCUAGCGUUGUCCGGAUUUAUUGGGCGUAAAGAGCGUGUAGGCGGCCAGGUAGGUCUGGUGUGAAAACUCGAGGCUUAACCUCGAGAUGUCAUCGGAAACCAUCUGGCUAGAGUCCGGAAGAGGAGAGUGGAAUUCCUGGUGUAGCGGUGAAAUGCGCAGAUAUCGGGAAGAACACCCGUGGCGAAGGCAGGUCUCUGGGCCGAUACUGACGCUGAGGAGCGAAAGCGUGGGGAGCGAACAGG
rnacentral:rRNA from 1 species